UUGUUUGUUGUACUCGGUCUAG
rnacentral:siRNA from 1 species